rnacentral:rRNA from 1 species
GACGAACGCUGGCGGCGUGCUUAACACAUGCAAGUCGAACGGAAAGGCCCUGCUUUUGUGGGGUGCUCGAGUGGCGAACGGGUGAGUAACACGUGAGUAACCUGCCCUUGACUUUGGGAUAACUUCAGGAAACUGGGGCUAAUACCGGAUAGGAGCUCCUGCUGCAUGGUGGGGGUUGGAAAGUUUCGGCGGUUGGGGAUGGACUCGCGGCUUAUCAGCUUGUUGGUGGGGUAGUGGCUUACCAAGGCUUUGACGGGUAGCCGGCCUGAGAGGGUGACCGGCCACAUGGGGACUGAGAUACGGCCCAGACUCCCACGGGGGGGAAGAGUGGGGAAUAUUGCACAAGGGGGGGAAGCCUGAUGCAGCAACGCCGCGGGCGGGAUGACGGCCUUCGGGUUGUAAACCGCUUUCGCCUGGGACGAAGCGGGAGUGACGGUAAUGGGAAAAGAAGCACCGGCUAACUACGU